GUAUAAAAGAGAAGACUAUUAAAAGUAACUUUCUGUACUUAGUCCUCCACGGAUGUGAGCGAGAGCUGCAGAGAGAAACUUUUGGAAUCUACAAGAAUCCGGCUACAGAACCAGUGCUUUAAAGCUGCUGAAAAUCUGCGUUUUCAGUUCCAUUUUGAUACGGAUACUGCUGAAUUAGUCCCUGAGAUGGUUCAUUUCCUUGACGACACUUAUAACAUCGUGACAGCAGAGCUAGAGUUGUUACUGGCCAACUGUGAAGCCCGGCAGAAGGCUUCCAGAAGCACAUCAGGCCUGAGCUGAGAGAGUGAUGUCACGAGAGUGAUGUCUUAGGCGACUUGCUCGGUGCCCUCAUCGCACAAGAUUCGGAGAACAGUAUGCCGACAGUGUGUGCAAGGCUGAGCGGGCAGCUGCUCCCAAAGACGCUUCGGACACGGAUUUGGAUGGAGAGGCUCCUGAGGGCCGGCUCGGGGAGCUGCAA